rnacentral:rRNA from 1 species
CUCCGGGUGAUCCCGCCGGACCCGACUGCUAUCGGAUUGAGAUUUAGCCAUGCGAGUCGAACGUCCCCCUGUUGCGGGGGGCGUGGCGUACGGCUCAGUAACACGUAGUCAACCUGCCCUGGAGACAAGGACAACCCCGGGAAACUGGGAUUAAUCCUUGAUAGGUCAUCUCAUCUGGAAGGAGAGAUGGCUUAAAGGGGUACGCGGGCUUCUUCCGCGAAUCUGCUCCAGGAUGGGACUGCGUCCGAUCAGGCUGUUGGCGGGGUAAUGGCCCACCAAACCUGUAACCGGUACGGGCCUUGAGAGAGGUGGCCCGGAGAUGGACACUGAGAGAAGGGUCCAGGUCCUACGGGGCGCAGCAGGCGCGAAACCUUCGCAAUGCGCGAAAGCGUGACGAGGUUAAUCCGAGUGACUCCCGCUGAGGGGGUCUUUUGUCAGCUGUAAAUAGGCAGGCGAAUAAGGGGAGGGCAAGCCUGGUGUCAGCCGCCGCGGUAAUACCAGCUCCUCGAGUGGUCGGGGCGAUUAUUGGGCCUAAAGCAUCCGUAGCCGGUUCCGUAGGUCCUCUGUUAAAUCCAACCGCUUAACGGUUGACCUGCAGAGGAUACCGCGGGACUAGGAGGCGGGAGAGGCGGACGGUACUCCGCGUGUAGGGGUAAAAUCCUUUGAUCCGCGGAAGACCACCAGUGGCGAAGGCGGUCCGCCAGAACGCGCUCGACGGUGAGGGAUGAAAGCUGGGGGAGCGAACCGGAUUAGAUACCCGGGUAGUCCCAGCCGUAAACGAUGCUAGCUAGAUGAUUCAUUCGCAAGUCGCGAAUGAAGUGUCGCAGGGAAGCCGUUAAGCUAGCCGCCUGGGGAGUACGGUCGCAAGACUGAAACUUAAAGGAAUUGGCGGGGGAGCA